rnacentral:rRNA from 1 species
ACUCCUACGGGAGGCAGCAGUGAGGAAUAUUGGACAAUGGGCGGGAGCCUGAUCCAGCCAUGCCGCGUGCAGGAAGACUGCCUAUGGGUUGUAAACUGCUUUUGUACAGGAAGAAACACUCCCUCGUGAGGGAGCUUGGACUGGUACUGUAAGAAAUAAGGAUCGGCUAACUCCGUGCCAGCAGCCGCGGUAAUACGGAGGAUCCAAGCGUUAUCCGG